CAUCCCCCACCCUAUUUACAAAUAUUUUAUUUAGAGACAGGGUCUCACUGAGUUGCUGAGUGCCUUGCUAAGUUGCUGAAGCUUGCUUUUAAUUUGCAAUCCUCCUGCCUCAGCCUCCUGAGCUGCUGGGAUUACAGGCGUGUGCCACUGUGUCCAGUUUAAAUUCUAUUCUUUGUAGUAACUACUACAAAUGCAUGGAACGCAUUUCAGAUAAUUACAAAAAGUAUUUAGUGGUGAGUUAAUUGUGUAUCCAUUCAGAGAUAUUUCACACACACACAUAUCUUGUUAUUAAAAUAGAUAUAAACUUUGUAUACUGUUCUGCACCUAGCUUUUGUUCACUUACUCUAGUGUAUCUCAAGAUUAUUUCUUAUUGAUAUAUAUAAAAUUCCCCUUUUUUUAAUUUGAUUUUUUUUAAGUUGUUGAUAGACCUUUAUUUUAUUAAUUUAUUUAUAUGCGGUGCUGAGAAUCAAACCCAGUGUCUCACACAUGCCAGGCAAGUGCACUACCACUAAGCCACAGCUACAGCCACAGCCCAAACAUUGCCUUUUUUUAAAGGCUAUUACAGUUUGGAUCUGGAACGUCCCCAAAGGCUCAUGUGUUGAAGACUUGGUCCAACUGAUGGUGCUAUAGGGAAGUAAUAGAAACUUUAGGAGAUGAGACCUAGCUGAAAGAGGUUGGUCCCAAGCCCUACCCUCCUUUGUCUCUGCUUCCCAUCUACCAGGAGGUAAGCAAUUUUUUUGCUUCCUGCUUCAACAUAGGGGCCAAGCAAACACUGACUGAAAUCUCUGCAUGAGCCAAAAUGAAUCUUUUCUCCUUAAGUUUUUUUUCUCAGUUAUUUUGUCACAGUGAUGAAAAGCUGACUAACAAAGGCUGUUAUAGUCCAUUGUAGGAUGGACCAUAGUUUAUUUAACUUAUCCCCUGUUAGUAGAAAGUCAAAUUAUUUCUAAACUUUUGCUAUGUUAAAAACAGUUUUGCAGUGAUUAUCCUUGUACAUACAUGAUUUUACAAGCGUUUGGCUAAAUUUUUAAAUCCUUAUUACAUCUGAAAUUUGACCACCAAUUGAAAUUUUUUAGAAUCUUUCUGGCAAGUUGGUUCUCUGUAAAGAAAAUAAUAGUAAUGUUCCUGCACUGUGUGUUACAGUGUACAUGGCAUUUUAGUUUACUUAAUCCUCAUGAGAUAGAGAGGGUGCUAUUGUCUAUUUCUCAGAGGAGAAAGCUAAGGGUCUUCAGACCACAAAGGCAGACACUAUUGACAUUUAUACUACCUACUUAAAUACUUGAAUGUGCUACCUCAGUUGUACAACUUCAGGUACUCUUUGCACAAUUGUCACCAACUCAAAGACAGUUGGGUUAUUUUACUUGAACUUUCUACCAAACAGCUAAGUAGUCCCCCAUGCUUUCACCCACCAAAAUACCAUGUGUUUGUAAAUUAUCCAUGACAGAGUCUGUUGCCAAUCAUAUUUGUGUGUAUCUAAGGAAGGCAAACCUAAUUGUUUUAACUGGGAAGCCAGAUCUAGAAUAAAAUAAUAUAUCCAAAACAAAUUGUGUAUUUUUAGAUUAUCAUUUUAUUGUGGUGUUAGUAGAGAACUGACUUGAGAUCCUUAGGGCAGGACACUUUGUAAACAAAUAAUCUGAGAGAACCUUAUAGGUUAAUAAGGAGGUAGUACUGAAGAUACAGGGAAAAUAGGAAAUCUUUAAAAAUCCAGAGAAGACACCUAGAAGUCUUGGUUCAAAGGAACUUUUGUCUAUUCAGUCAUCUAAUUCUGGAAGAAUAAUAAAGGUGAAACAUCCUGUCUUCUUCCUCUAACAGGCUCCUGCCAUAUAGAGAACAUAAAUCGUCUGUUCCCAGGUAUCUAAAUAUUAGGGUGCUCCAUGGCUCAGGUCCUUAGACUUUCCACUUUGCCUUGGUGAGUCAUUCAUCCAUGUGACUUCAAACAUCUUCUGCCCUGAAUCUCAAAUUUAUACUUCCAGCCUGAUCAUUUUACUGAAUUACAGUCUCUUAUAUGCACCUAAAUUAUUAGGCACCUCAAAUUUAAGAUUAAGCAAACUGAACUCUCAUUUCCAUGCCUAGUGUUUUUCUCUGAGGUAUCUCAGUCAAUGACCCUUUCAUUUACUUCUUCAUCAGACUAAAAUGCUGGGAUCAUCCUGACUCCUUUGCCCCACAUGUGAUUCAUUGGCAGAUCCUUUUGAUGUUUUGAAUCUAACCACUUCUCAGCACCCAUGCUAGUCCAAGUCAUCUCUUGUUGAAAUAUUACAAUAGCCUCCCAAUUGUUCUCCCUCUUUCCACCCUUCCUGUUUAUUCUCCAC
rnacentral:lncRNA from 1 species